GACGAACGCUGGCGGCGUGCCUAACACAUGCAAGUCGAACGGGGUAAUUCCUUCGGGGAUUACUUAGUGGCGAACGGGUGAGUAACGCGUGAGAAACCUGCCUUUCAGUGGGGGACAACAGUUGGAAACGACUGCUAAUACCGCAUAAUGUAUCGAUGGGGCAUCCUGUUGAUACCAAAGAUUUAUUGCUGAAAGAUGGUCUCGCGUCUGAUUAGCUAGUUGGUGAGGUAACGGCUCACCAAGGCGACGAUCAGUAGCCGGCUUGAGAGAGUGACCGGCCACAUUGGGACUGAGACACGGCCCAAACUCCUACGGGAGGCAGCAGUGGGGAAUAUUGCACAAUGGGGGAAACCCUGAUGCAGCAACGCCGCGUGAGUGAAGAAGUAUUUCGGUAUGUAAAGCUCUAUCAGCAGGGAAGAUAAUGACGGUACCUGACUAAGAAGCCCCGGCUAACUACGUG
rnacentral:rRNA from 1 species